GAUGAAGAACGUAGCGAAAUGCGAUAAGUAAUGUGAAUUGCAGAAUUCAGUGAAUCAUCGAAUCUUUGAACGCACAUUGCGCCCCCUGGUAUUCCGGGGGGCAUGCCUGUUCGAGCGUCAUUUCACCACUCAAGCCUCGCUUGGUAUUGGGCAACGCGGUCCGCCGCGUGCCUCAAAUCGACCGGCUGGGUCUUCUGUCCCCUAAGCGUUGUGGAAACUAUUCGCUAAAGGGUGUUCGGGAGGCUACGCCGUAAAACAACCCCAUUUCUAAGGUUGACCUCGGACCAGGUAGGGAUACCCGCUGAACUUAAGCAUAUCAAUAAGCGGAGGA
rnacentral:misc_RNA from 1 species